GUGAGGAAUAUUGGUCAAUGGGCGAGAGCCUGAACCAGCCAAGUCGCGUGAAGGAAGAAGGAUCUAUGGUUCGUAAACUUCUUUUGCAGGGGAAUAAAGUGCGGGACGUGUCCUGUUUUGUAUGUACCCUGAGAAUAAGGAUCGGCUAACUCCGUGCCAGCAGCCGCGGUAAUACGGAGGAUACGAGCGUUAUCCGGAUUUAUUGGGUUUAAAGGGUGCGUAGGUGGAUUGAUAAGUCAGCGGUGAAAGUUUGCAGCUUAACUGUAAAAUUGCCGUUGAAACUGUCAGUAUUAAGUGCAAAUGAGGUAGGCGGAAUGUGUUGUGUAGCGGUGAAAUGCAUAGAUAUCACGCAGAACUCCGAUUGCGAAGGCAGCUUACUAAGCUACAACUGACACUGAAGCACGAAAGCGUGGGGAUCAAACAGGAUUAGAAACCCGUGUAGUCC
rnacentral:rRNA from 1 species